CACGUAGGCACCAAGCGUUGUCCGGAUUUAUUGGGCGUAAAGAGCUCGUAGGCGGUUCAGUAAGUCGGGUGUGAAAACUUUGGGCUUAACCCAAAGCGUGCAUCCGAUACUGCUGUGACUUGAGUUCGGUAGGGGAGUGGGGAAUUCCUAGUGUAGCGGUGAAAUGCGCAGAUAUUAGGAGGAACACCGGUGGCGAAGGCGCCACUCUGGGCCGAAACUGACG
rnacentral:rRNA from 1 species